AUUGAACGCUGGCGGCAUGCUUUACACAUGCAAGUCGAACGGCAGCACGGGGGCAACCCUGGUGGCGAGUGGCGAACGGGUGAGUAAUAUAUCGGAACGUGCCCAGUCGUGGGGGAUGGCCCGGCGAAAGCCGGAUUAAUACCGCAUACGACCUGAGGGUGAAAGCGGGGGACCUUUCGGGGCCUCGCGCGAUUGGAGCGGCCGAUGUCAGAUUAGGUAGUUGGUGGGGUAAAGGCCUACCAAGCCGACGAUCUGUAGCUGGUCUGAGAGGACGACCAGCCACACUGGGACUGAGACACGGCCCAGACUCCUACGGGAGGCAGCAGUGGGGAAUUUUGGACAAUGGGCGCAAGCCUGAUCCAGCCAUGCCGCGUGCGGGAAGAAGGCCUUCGGGUUGUAAACCGCUUUUGUCGGGGAAGAAAUACGCCGGGCUAACAUCCUGGCGGGAUGACGGUACCCGAAGAAUAAGCACCGGCUAACUACGUGCCAGCCGCCGCAGUAACAC
rnacentral:rRNA from 1 species